CUCUGUCGUCCCCUUCUCCUUGUGCCCUCCAUCUUUCCCAACAUCAGGGUCUUUUCCAGGGAGUCUUCUCUUCUGAUGAGGUGGCCAAAGUAUAGAAGUGCAUUAUUAGUCUUAAUACCUGCUAUUUCCCCAACCACCAGAACCAACCCAACCACCAUUGAAGCACAAUGGCAAUAACAUUGAUGAAAACUCCAGUGACUACUGGCAUGAUGAUGGGCAUAUUGGCAACCUGGCAAUGGCAGGUGUUGUUUACUGUGAAAGGGGUGCAAUAAUGUGUACUCUGUGUCUCUGACUAUUCUGAUAUAAUACAGCUGAAAGAAUACGUACAUUAUUGAUGCGCAGGGUGUACUUUCCAAAGUCUCUAGGCACAGAUCUUACUAUGGUCUUACUAUGAUACUUAAGGAAGAUUAAUGGGGACUAGUCACCACCUCAUUUGUUUGUAAAAGGAGAGCUGGUUUCAUCAAAGGAAUUGGCACCAUGCUGUAUUCUACAGAUAAUCUGUAACAGCUGCACUUUCAGAUAGCUGAUAUCUUAUCCUUCAUUUUCAAGAUUGUAUCUAUUUGUCUUCUCAUUUUUGUGGUUUCUUUAGAUCUCGAGGAUCCUAGGUAAUUUCUGCCUAUAAACCAUUUUUUUAAUUUCCUUUUUCUGAACAUCAGAGAUUGUUUAUUUCCCUCCCAACGAUUACAUUCCGUUUUCCUUAUGUAUGCGCUCUCCACCUUCUCCCCACCCCCUUACGGCAAUUUUCUGAGAGAUCUUUAAGAGAAAAGAAGAAAAGGCUGCAGUUUUCUAACCUGAUCAUGAUUUUGCAGGUUAACUCCAAAUGUGCGAAAUGUACAUGGCAUUCCUUUCAUGUUGAGGCAUGCCUUCAGGGACUUCCAUCAAGGUUUUUUUGCUCAAAUGGUCAUACAAUGUAAACUAACCAGAUUACACCUGUUGUUUCAUGAUAGAUUAAGUUUCUUUUAUUGUUUAAACAUAUUUUAUUUUUCAUGUUCUAUAGUUAGCCGUAUUGUUUGCAUUGUUUCCCCUCAAGCAUAAGAGUGAUCAACAAACUUGCCAAAAAUAAUCUCUUCUGGGGAGGGACUUUGAAUGCCUUUGUUAAUACCUUCGGCAUGUGUAUAUAUGACCAAACAAACAGAAUUGUGUACAUUUUUUAAAAAAAGUAUUUUCCAAGUUCACUCAAGUUCUUCAUAAGAAAAGGAUAAAUUAUGUAACUUGUAUAAAUUAGGUAAAUUAAGCACACCUAAAAUCUCUCUCUCCGUGUGUAAAUGUUCCAUUGUACAUACAGUGGUACCUUGGGUUACAGACGCUUCAGGUUACAGACUCUGCUAAUCCAAAAAUAGUACCUCGGGUUAAGAACUUUGCUUCAGGAUCAGAACAGAAAUCGCGUGGUGGUGGCAGGAGGCCCCAUUAGCUAAAGUGGUGCUUCAGGUUAAGAACAGUUUCAGGUUAAGAACGGACCUCCAGAACGAAUUAAGUUCUUAACCCGAAGUACCGCUGUAUAUGUUCAUGCUAUAUGUAUAUGCAUACAAGUGAUCAUAAGAAUGUGCGUGUACAACCUGUGUUCUUCCAUAUAUUGCUCCAACUUGUAUCAGAAACCAACAUGGCCAAUGGUCAGGCCUGAUGUAGCCCAGUUGCAUACCCUCCAACAUUUCUCCGAUGAAAAUAGGGACAUCCCAUUCCAUAUGAUAGUUUUACUGUUUAUACCCCACACAUCUUACUGGGUUGCCUACCACUCUGGGCAGCUUCCAGUAUAUAUAAAAACAUAAUAAAACAGUAAGCAUUAAAACUUCCCUGUACAGGAUUGCCUUCAGACAGCUUGGGGGUCAGAUAACUCCAUACCCUCCAACGAAAAUGGGGACAUCCUAAGGAAAAGUGGGACAUUCCAGGGUCAAAUAAGAAACCAGGACAGCUUCUAUAAAUCAAGGACGUCCCUGGAAAAUAGGGACACUUGGAGGGUCUGCAGCCAAGUCCAGUGGCAUCCUGAAAGCCACAUAUUCCUCAUUCCAAAGUGGAGAUUCCUGAGGUGCCCAAAUUCUAGUUAUUUCAUGCUGAUUUCCACAUUUCUUUUUCUUGUGUUGCAAAAGUGCAGUAUCAACUCAACUCUGGUCAUCCCUGCAAUAGUUGUAGUAGGUAUAGCUUCUUCAGGGCUGCGCUUUCAUUAAGGUUGCACACAUAGAACAAAAGGCCUACCCUCACUCUCUUGUGCCAUUUAUGUUAUUUAUUUUGAUUUCUAUUGCAUCCUGACACAAAGACUUCGGGUAGAUUACAGGCAUUGUACAUCCAAAAGAGAAUGAUUCACUUCCCUUAAAGGGGGUCAUUGACAGAGCACAAUAGAUCAAUGAACCCAGGGACAAAAGGCGAAUGAAGGAUACACAUGCCUUUUAAAAAGCUUAAUCUAAAAAAUAUAUCCCAGGUGAAAGAAGGAGAAUAAAUCCCAUGUUUCUGCAGCAAGGAUCAGGAAGCUGUUUCUCUCUCUGGCUCUGUCUUUUUCGCCAGCCUGCCAUUGUGCACCAUAAAUGUCAAUCUACCUACCUAACUGCCCUGCUUUUCCAACAGGGCAGCUGGCAUAACAUGGCCUCCAUGGUUGGCUAGGGCUGGGAUGAGGACCUUUCUUCAGCUCAAGGGUCACACAGCCGCGUGAGCAGCCUUCCAGAGUUGGCCUGCCAAUGGGGGACAGGGCCAGAGGCAAAAAAUAAUAAUAGGUGGAGCAACAGACAGGGGUCCGCUCUUUGGACAGUAGGCUACAUUCCAGCCAUGCAAAAGUCAGAGCUUUCUGCACACACAUUUCUCCAUCCAGACAAGCAAAAGGCAUUAUCAUAGUCCAGCAUCCUGGUGCCAUGUGUUGCUUUGUUUUAUUUAAGAUUGUGGGACUUCCGAUUCCAAACAAAGCAUUUUAUUAUUCGUUGUAAAAAGGCAGAACACUGCUAGGCGUAAUACUACAAACUUGAGAGCUUUCCUUCUACUCAGUCACAAUGAUCUGCUCAGAAGUGUUGCCUGGCCAGAUGAGGGCCAGGUGGACAUCUAUAGAGGGCCACAUUCAGCCCCCAGCCUGAGUACCCCCAACCCUAGCCACCAGGGGUCCAGUUGAUUUAGUAGGAGGCUCACUGAUAUCUUUCCUUUUUCUCUGGUUUAUUUGACAGAUUUAUUUGACACAAUUUCUAGAUUGUCUUUUAAACUUAAAAACACAACAAAGAUACCAGUUAAACUUAAAAUGUUGGUCAGAUUAUUUCCUACCUAACCUUCAGACACCACAAUUGGUAUUUGAUUAUGUUACAAGUCAUGAUAUGCAAAAUAGCAGCUCAUUGUACACAUAGCCAAAUGGCACUGAUACAAGAUAAUUGCUGUUACUAACUAUUGUUAUGGGUUCAGUUUGGCCCAUGGACUGCAGGUUCUACACUUACUGACAGCAGCUUUCUGGGGUUUCAGGCCAGAGUAAUUUGCAGCCAUUGCUCGGGAUGCCAGGAAUUGAAUCUGGACUUUUUGUAUAUAAAGCUUUCCAUGGAUAUCUGUUUGGCCACUCUGAGAACUAGAUGCUGGGCAUGCUGGGCCACUGGCCUGAUGUAGUAGGGCUGCUCUUAUGAGCUGUGUCCCCUCAUUAAUCAUACAACUGUGUGUUAGUAGAAGUAUAAUUAUUUCCAAUUGACUGCUGUAGCACAAUCUGCUCAACCAAUGAAAGGAGUGAAGUGCCAGUAGGGGAAUCCCUUUGCUAUUGAAGAUGCUUGGUUGAAUAUUUGGGGCAAUAAGCUAAUUACUUCCCUGUCACCUCAGUUGUUCAAAGUACCUAUUUGACCCAGUGACAACUUCUAAUAUUACAUCCUAACUGGGUCUUAACUGGGGACCUGGAAUCCCUUUUGACUAUUCAGUUGUCUUAUCUCUAGUUUCAUCAUCUUGCUUCUUGUUUGUCAACUGGAUUUAUUUUAUAAAUAUAACUGAUAUUUCCAUGUGAAUUAUCCCUAGAAGUUAGUAAGCUGAAAUGUUUUCCAGAAGGCACACAGUACCCAACUGGCCCGCUUGGCCACAGUCUGUUCAUUAUCAUGCUCUAAAUUUCACUCAAAAGAUAUCUUUUUGGCUGAUGUACUCAAAGCACCUGGAAAAUGUCAGCCUGAGGUUUGCCAGAAAGACAUGUCCAGCAUAACAACACAGCUUCAGCAUGUGUCCAGAUAAAGCAGAACAAACAAAAAACAAUUGGAGCUUAUUGUAAAAAGUUAGAGUAACUUAAAGGCACAUCUAUACAACACCCUUUCUCAAUCAUACAGUGACCCCCCUGAGAAUCUCAUGAUCCUCAGCACAGGAAGUGUGGUGAAAGCCUGCUGACAGCUUUCUGACAAUCCCAUGAACUUUAAUCCUACUUUUCAAGAGUUUAACUGCACAUGAUCAUUACUGCAAAAUGUAGAGGAGACAUGUGACUUUCAUUCAAUUCUUCUCCCAGUGUGUUUCAGGAUAAUCAAGGGAAGGCUCUUAAUAUACAGUAAGAACUGUUGCAUGCUUUUGUGAUACCUCCAAAAAAUUCAGUGACCAGAUGUAUGGCAGGCAUAGCCAAGGUUAGCUGGGGCUGAUGGGAGUUGUAGGCCAACAUAUGGAGGGUACCAGGUUGCCUAACCCUGAUGUAUGGUUAACAAUGGCAAUGAUGUUGUGUGAAAUGUCAUUGCUAAUCAUUACCACCUUUGGAAUCCAACAACUGUUCCAGAGUCCAUGGUGAGCCAUUUGCUUCUCUAAACCCGCUGGAGCCAAACGCUUCGUGAACCUGGACUCUACCAUUUCAAAGGUGUAUUUCAUGCGGAAAUGCUUCAUCGCAAUAACAAAGCCCUAUACAUAUAAAAUUACCAAAGCAGAGAGAAGUCAAGGCUGAAACUUUACAUCCUGAAAUGUAACUUCCUAUGCAUACAGGGGCUUUCUUUGACAUGGGUUGAGAUUCAUACAAUCCCCAGCCUAUAAUAUCAGGUGGUGGCACUUUUGUUGCGAUAAUUGCAAACAACAGUAGAAUCUCUACAUAGAUAAAAAGAGGGGAAAGUCAACUGCAUCUAGAGAUUCAGUCAGAAAUAAUCUGGUGCUAUGGAAGAAGCAGAAAGAAAACUCAUGCCCAUAAAUCAUUCCCAUGCAACCUGCUUUGGGUAUUUAUAUUUAUUUUCACAUUGUUCCUGGUGUUUGCUAUUUACUUAAUGGGUUCCUGCCAUCUUCUAUUCCCCGGUGGCAUGUUUUGUUAUUUCUGUUUAUAAUGGGUUUUGUUCCCCCUUUUAAAUUAGAGAAUGUGGAGAUUUGCUUGGUCCUGUAUGAAAUGUUGAUGCUUCUUACGAGAACUGAAAUUCCCCAGAGAUUUCUCUCUGCGUCUCUCUUUUUCUUACACACACACACACACACACACACACACAGGAAGUCGAGCUUUUGCAAAGAUACGGGAGGAUAUGGGAAUACCAAGCUAAUCAAAGAAUGAAACUAUUCAUGAUUGUUAGACACUUACCAGUUCCUUGCUCCUUAGCUGUUAUCUGUAAAGUGAAAAGAUUUUGGCUAGCUGCUUGUUUGGUAACUGCUUUUCAGAGCACCAGGACCAGAUAAGAGGAAAUGAGAGACAAAACAGUGCAAUUAAAAGCAGUAACAGGCAGAAAGAAACAAAUUAAAGAUAAUUAUUGCAACAGAAGAAUGCCAUAACAUGUGUGAAGCAGUUGCAUUAUUGCAGUUAGGGAAACUGAACAUAUAUCCCUGUUCUGUUCUUUUUAUACAUAAUGUACACAAUAGAAAUACAUUUAGAUCUAAAUGUAAAAAAUGUAGAGGUUAAAUGCCUAACUUGGAGGCCCUUCAAGAAGUCUUGUUGUGCAUUCAUGAGGAUUUGUACACAUGAUGGCAAUGCUGUUUGCAUGUUCAGACCCAGAAACCACCUCCCUAAUUAAAUUCACACUUGACUCAAAUUUUAGUUUGGUUUUUGGCAGAAUUUAGGCCACAACUUUGAUUACAGAAAGUGAGUGGUUGCAUAGGCUCUGGUUCAACCCCCUCUCUACCAUGCAGGUAGCGCUGACCCAGGGUUCCAGCACAGGUCAGCCAAGGAUGAACACCUGGAUAGGCGGAAAGUUGGGAACAGACUAUGUCCACCACCCAGACAUCCCCCUGGACUCAGGCAUAGGCACAACCCCCUCUCAAGGUUUGACUAAACCAUCUGAGUCCCUGGAUUCCUUUAACGGAAUACCCUUCACAUAGGGAUGGCGAGAGCGUUCUCCCAUCCCUAUCACCUGAACCAGAGCCUAUCCACAACCUUCCAAGUUGUGACAAAUUGCUACGCGGCAGGUGAAACCCAAAUGGCAACAGCCAAGUGGGGGAAAUUCCUGCCAUGCCCCUGUCCCAAUGACAGAUGACACACGACGGCAUAGCAAGGUCGAGCGCAACAAGCCCUAAAAGUAGGGAGAGAUGGGCAGGUGUUCCGAAUAAACGUGCCGAAAGAGGGAGCUCUGGGUCACGUUCAUGGGCAUAAAUAGGUCCCUCAAACCGUUUGGACUGCGUCCCAUUGGCCAGAUUGUACCCAGCUUCGAGGGACCUACCAAACGGAUGUUGUGGUUGACCAAUCGUACCCACCCACAACACAGGGUGUUGGUUUCCUGGGACUCCCCGCAAUACGUGCCCUCUUUAAGGAAGGACCCGAUAUAUCCCUGUUCUGUUCUUUUUAUGCGUAAUGUACACGAUAAAUACAUUUAGAUCUAAAUGUAAAAAAUGUAGAGGUUAAAUGCCUAACUUAGAGGCCCUUCCAAAAGUCUUGUUUGUUGUGCAUUCAUGAGGAUUUGUGCUCAUGAUGGCAAUUCUGUUUGUGCCAGCAAAGGUUUCAAGGCAGCCAUACUACUUUGCUUCCAAUCAAUGCUUCCUCCCCAAACCCUAUUUGUUCUAGUUUAUUUAUUUUUUUGUCCCACGUUUGAUGAGCCCCAUUUGCCCCUCACUUUCCGUCACUUUUACAGCACAUGCAGAAACUGCCUUCUGGACAGAUUGAGCAGUCGAGACCAACAGUGGGUGCAACGGCCUUCUUGACCAUUGGGCCCAUUAUUGGUCUUGUCCACUUAACUGCAUGAGCCUUUCUUCAUUUGCUGCAUCCCUUUAGCAGAAGGCCCCUUAGCUCUGGUAAAUUUUGAUAGAGAAAACCCCAAGCAAAAGUGUUUUGGUUUUCAGGUUAGCAGCAGCUACAAGACCAAUCCCCUACUUUUGAUUGCUUUUUAGUACAUGGCAUGACACAAAUGCCUAACUGUGGCUGGCAAGCUAAGUGGUAUUUUGUACCAAGCUAAAUGUUUGCCUGGCGACCAAGUAAACUUUGCCUCACACUGAGGCCCAACCAGUUAUCAUACUAGCAGCAUGGUGUGGUCAGCGAUGCCAUGUGGGCCAGGUGACUGAUGUUGUUGCUUCCAUGCCAACAUCACUGUGUUGGCAUGGUCUUUGCUUUUUCAAACUUCCCACUGUUUUCCAUUCAUCUAGCGGGCCCAUGCCUCAACUUAACAUACACUCAUAAAAUUACAGCUAAGUUGUAUUCACAUGUUCCCAAAGAACACAAGUUUAGCAGCUACCAAUAUGAGGGAAGGUAUUUAUUCAGAAUUGAAUUUCUACUCUACAGAUGUGACAGUGCUUUUUUCUGGGGGUACUCAAGGGUAGGGAGUACUGGUACCUUUUUUUUCAAAUAUUAAAAGUGUGGCACUUACUGUAACAAAUUCAUAGUGAAUACUGACACUUUUCUCUCUCUCUCUCUCUCUAAAAAAAGGCACUGGAUGUACCUACUUUCAAUAGCACAGAAGGCUCCUCUAUUGAGGAAUCAAGCAAAAGAAGCACUUUGUUUUUCCCCUGGCUGCUGAUUUGAGGCUACUGAUUUUGCUUAAUGCUCUUUGUAAUAUGCUCAUGCUCAGCUAGAUAUCUGGUACAGGAAAUCACAGAAAGUUGUCUUCCAAUGCCCCAUCUCAUUCAUAUGGGUGUCAUACAUUACUAGUGAUGCAUGGCCAUCCCUAUGCUCACUACAAAGAGGCUGGAUCCCUUGCGCAUGCACACUCACAAAGGUGUUACUUUGCACAUGAUCCGAGUGCAAAAUAAGUAUGUUCCAAACACUCAGUUGAUUGAAACAGCUGCUGCCACUUCCUUGCCUCCAAAGAACCCACUCCUUUGUGGGUCAGAGGAAGGAGUAGCAGGUACUUCAGGUCCUCAACCCAGCAUUCUUCUCCCCACAUCUUGCUAGAAUUGCCAUCCUUUUUGCUGGCCUGCUUCCAUGCCUUUAACAGCAGCCUGAUAUGCUCAAAUUAAAUAGAUGAAAGCUUGCCUAUUAGGGAGACAGAAGAAUAAAUAGGAAAGGAAUGGAAAACAGAAUUCCCAAUAUAAUACUGCCCUUAUGGAAAUGUAUGGUGAGGCUACACCUGGAAUACCAUUUGUAGCUCUGGCAACUUCGCCUCAAAAAAGUUAUUGUAGAGCUGGGAAAAGGGUUCAGGAAAGGACAACCAAAAUGAUCAAGGGGAUGGAGCAAGUCCCCUAUGAAGAAAGGUUGCAACAUUUGGGCUUUUUAGUUCUGAGGGAAAGGCAAGCAAGAAGAGACACGAUAGAGGUAGAUAAAACUAUGCAUGGUGUGGGAAACAUGGACAGAGGAGUUUUUCUCCCUCUCUCAUAAUUCUAGAAUCAGAAACAUCCAAUGAAGCUGAAUCUUGAAAUAUUCAGGACAGAAAAAAGGAAACAUUUUAUAGAAAAUAAAUACUAUGUGUUAUAAUAUUAUAUUUUCUAUGCAUUCAUUGCAUAGUUAAACUGUGGAAUAUGCCACCACAAUAUGUAGUGAUGGGCACCGAUUUGGAGAGCCUUAAAAGGAAAUUAGACAAUUUCACGGAGAAUAAGACAAUGGUUUUUAGCCAUUUUACAUUGGAGGUGGUAUGCCUCUGAAUUUCAAGUCUCCAUUCUUUUGUGUUUCACAGUGCUUCUUCUGAUGUGUAUAAAAUACAAAACAAAUAACAGCACAAAACAAAGUACCACAAAUCCUAAGUUUGGGACAUUUUCUUGCUCAGGUAGAUUCACAAGAACCAGGGCAGCCUCCUCUGAUAGGCCGUAAAGCCAAUUCUUUCCUUAAAUUUGCUUUCUACUCUCACAUGAGCCCAUAUUUCAGCUGAGAUACCCACCCUCCAAUUAAAAGGCUGUUGUUGGAAACUUAGAACCCUAUGCAACUGUGGUAUUUAUUGAGGGUGGUUUGCACUUCCUCUUAGUUAUGGUCUCGCUGGGAUUAUUUUAGUUCAUAUGGAAAAUAACUCUGCGUUCUUAAACAUAGAUAAUGGCCACACUUUAUGGGUGGUGGAGAUAUGCGUGGUCCAAUAUUUUGUAGUAAUGUUUUUACUAAGAUUGUAAAAGGUCCAAGUUGGUGAUGCUGAAAGCAUUUUUGUUUUGGGGCACCUCCAGAUGAGUGUUUAUUAUGGCAUCAGUGGUCUGCAUAUCAUCUCGGAAUAUAUUUUGCAGCAUUCACAUGGUAUUGUUGGCCUCAAAAUGCUGGGAAAAUCUGAUAGGUGAAAAUAUGAACCCCUUUUGCCAAUGUCCCACUUGCAAUAUCCAAAUGACCCUUUUCCAAAUUAAGCCCCUCACUCCCCAAUCUGGGAGUACCUUUUGUGUGUGUGAAGGGGACUUUAUUAGAAACUAACCUCAGUAACAAUUUGAAGUGAGUCCGCAUAUUGCAUUAUUUGCAUGAGAACCGCAAUUAUCUCUUGACAGCCUGAAUGUGUGAAACUGCUAAACUGCUCUCCCCACUGCUGGCAAGAUCAGUCAUCAUUAAUCAGCAUUGCCACUUAUCAUAUCAGGUAAUUAACCGACUUAUGGGGCCAAACAGGAAGCUAAUGAGAUUAUCAUGUUGGUCGACACCUGUCAUGUUACAUUCAUCACUUUUAAAUCUCACCUGAAGACAAACGCUUGCAAAAUAAUGUGUCACAGUUAAAUGAAUAGGAUAAACCUUCAGGCGAGCAGCUGGCAAUCACAGGACUAAGGUUUCCCAUUCCUCACAAGGAAGCAUGAGAAUCAGAAAUGGGUGGAGCAAUGAGUACAAAUGUUUACCUUUGUGCAGUAAGCUAAUUUCUACACACAAGUGCUGUAUGUCUUUGAAGUAAAACUCCCCUCUUCCCCGAUCAUUGGCUGUUGUGGCUGGGGUUGAUGGGAACAGGAGUCAAGCAAGGUCUGGAGAGCCACAGGUUCCCCAUCCAUGGUGGUGGAGAAGAGGAGUACGUACUCCAGCUCCCUGCCUGCUUAACCCCUGACAUUCCCACACAGAGGUCUGGGAAAGGCUUAGAAGUGCAUUCAGAAGAACAUGUUUAGAAGACAUGCUGUGAUCAGGAACCCAGCAUUAUUGGGUUUGCUGAUCAUGUGGAGGCUUCUAAGCAUGCUCAGCUUAUAUUUGGAUUGAACAUAAUGCACAAUCACAAAAUGACAGCUGACAGCAAGGCAAUAAUAAUAAUAGUCAGUUGAUAUGGCAGAAGCAGAAUGGUAGUACAGUUGGACCUUGGUUGCUGAACAUAAUCCAUUCCAGAAGACGGUUUAACUUCUGAAACAUCUGAAAGCUGAGGCUCAAUGGACAGUCGGCAAAAUCCAUUGGAAAAAUGGACAAAUGCCCCUCAGAAGCCGUUCAACUUCCGAGGCGUGUUCGAAAACGGAAGCAUUCACUUCUGGGUUGUCGGCGUUCGAAAGCUGAAAUGUUUGACUUCCAAAGCAUUCAGCAACCGAGGUUCCACUGUAAUAGGUUCUGGGGCACCACCCUUCACCCAGUUAAACACACACACACACACACGCAUCUUUCUGUCUGCUAUCUACUUUGCUCACAGUGGGCUGCUCCCUUAAAAUCAGAUCAGGCUAAAAAUCCCAAUUUAUACACAGUAGACUGCUUCUCCAUCCAGACUUUUGGGGGUGGGGUGGAGCACAUUCACUUUUUAAAAAAAUGGACAUAAGGUUACAUGGUUCAUUGUGCUCCAGUUUGGAGAUGUCAGCCACUUUCCAGUUUUGACGUGGAAUACUCCUCUGUCCCCUUGCUUUGAUGUGAUUGUUGAAAGAGAUGACUAUGCUUUGAUGCUGCAAUCACACAGUGUGGACAAGCAACAUGCUCUUGUCAAGCUCCUAGUGGUACAGCAAUGAAACUGCUAGCACAUCUGCAAAGCUAAGCAGGGUCCAGUAUGGUUUCAAAUUGGUUGAGAGACUAUGUGCUGAGGUCCCUGCAUUGCAGGAGGUUGGACUAGAUCACCCUCAGGAUCCCUUCCAACUCUAUAAUUCUGGGAUGCCUCAACAUAGGCUAAGGAAUUUUGGCAUCCUAAAUGGGGUAUUUGUGAAUGAUGUACAUCUUCCAGAGCAGACAUAAGUAACUCUGAAAUUUGAUAUUUGAAUAUGAUAUCCUUUUGGUUUAAAAACAAAAACAAACUCUUGGUCACUUCAUGGAUUUACAUAUUAACAUUCCUAUUUAUUUUUUAAAGCUGCUCUGCCUACUUUUGACAUUAUUAACUAUUUUAAUUUGAAACAAACUUGGAGGCAGUGUGGCCUAGUGGUUAGAGUGUUGGACUAGAGAGAUCAGGGUUCAGUUCCUUAAUUAGCCAUAGGUGGACUUGGGCAAGUCACUGUCUUUUAACCAAAACUAUUUUUCAGGAGAGAACCAUACCUCAUGUAUGUCAUACAGUCAUACCUCAUGUUACGUCUGCUUCAUGUUACGUUCUUUCAGGUUAUGUCCUGUGGUGACCCGGAAGUACCAGAAAGGGUUACUUCCGGGUUUCGCUGCUCGCACAUGCGCAGAAGUGCAAAAUGAUGUCAUGUGCAUGCGCAGAAGUGGCAAAUCGCAACCCAUGCAUGCGCAGAUGUGACACUGCGGGUUGCGAUCUUUUCAUGUUGCGAACGGGCCUCCGGAACAGAUCCCGUUCGCAACCAGAGGUACCACUGUACACCAGAUUCAGCUCCUUAGAGGAAAUAUGAGAUAUAAUUAAUCUAAAUAAAUAAAUAAAGCUUAUUAAUGACUUUUCAACUAUUAAAAAAGUUUUUACACUUUAUCUACUUUCUAGUGUGUUUCAACUUUCCUGGAUUUUAUUUCCUGUGAAAGCCUGAUCUUAAAAAUCAAAUAAAACAGAAUCUAUUUCUGUGCAUCCGAAUUGACAUUCAUAAAUAUGUAUGCAUUUUCUAUUAUGUAUUUAUUGUAAUGUAUUUUCUGAUGUAGCGCACCACUUGUUUUCUCAAGUAAAUUUCACUACAUUCUGGAGGGAUUGCUUCCAAGUAAUUAUGCAUAGUCUUGCAGCCUUAGGAAAUACAUUGAUUGUACAAGUUCAAGAGCAUCACAUCCCUGCAGAUUAUAGCCUUAGAUAGCAAGCAGAUAGCCAUGAAGAAUUAAAAGAAAAUUAUAGCCUGUCACAAUAAUGGUUCGUAUUUGUUGCUUAUAAUAUUUUAGCAUUUCUGAUUAAAAUAAAAUAAAAACAAAUUUGUUUUGAUUGAAAGGAGGUGAACUGAGCAAAGGAACUGUACGGUAUUUGAAUCAGUAGCAAAGAAAAUGUGUGAAUGGCUGCAUUUCCCCACUGCUGUUUUUGAUUGCAUUAUUCUUGUCACUUUGCAUCUUUGCAACAUGCACCCUGCAUCUCUUGUACACUGUAGACAGCUGGUCUUGUUUUCCUUUUCUGAUUUCUAUGCAUUCUCUGGCAAGGCUAGCAAUGUUAGAACACAGAAGUACAGACAAAUAAGCAGUCACCAAAUAGUAUUUUUUAUUUCCACUUUACUUUAACCAUGACCCAUGAUAGAUUCAGAUGUCAGCACUGGAAGAAAACAUCUCUUCGUAUUAACACAAACUGUGCUACUUUUUCAUAUAACAUUUCUCUGCUUUCCCUACACACAUUUUUUUUUUCAUUCUUAAAAAAACAUAGCCAGUAUUUAUUCAGAUAGUGUAUAUCCAGUGGGCAUUGAUUUCCAUAAUCAUUGCAGCCGUUUUACUUGUACAGAGAAACAAUCCUUUUCCAGAGGCAAAACUAGAUGCUUGGUGACACAGACCUGUGUUUGGGAAUCUGUUUUGCCACUUAAACACCUGCCAAGCUGGGCAAGAGCUAUUUAUAGUGGGAGAUUAGAGGGCAAUUUGUAGUGUGGGAUAGAGAAGGAAAGGAUACUUUAAAAAUUAUGAUUACAUUUAUAUACCACCUUUUUCUCCCAAGGAGCUCAAAGUGGCAUAUAUGGUUCUCCUCUGCCCUCUUUCAUCCUCACAACAACCUGUUGCACAUCAUUUAAAUGUAUAACAUACACAUAUGCACUCCAGGUUUCCUAAAGUACCCAACACAUAAAAAGCUACAUACCACAAUGCCUAUAAAAGUAUAAAAAUACUAUCUUCCUGCAGCAUAAUUUUGUAAUUAUUAAUAGUAUCACGGGAGGCUUUUACAUGUAAUAUAUACAUGCAUUUUGCCUAUAUUUAAUCUGUUUUAUUAAAAAACACACACACACAGUGCAUGAGUGGCUCAGACUUAAGUGUGCACCCCACUCAAGAUGCUUUGGUUUGAUGUGGCCCAAACCCAGUCAGGUUAGAACCACCCAUUUCUGUGCAUAAAAAGGUAAAGGUAAAGGGACCCCUGACCAUUAGGUCCAGUCGCGAACGACUCUGGAGUUGCUGUGCUCAUCUCGCUUUACUGGCCGAGGGAGCCGGCGUACAGCUUCCGGGUCAUGUGGCCAGCAUGACUAAGCUGCUUCUGGUGAACCAGAGCAGUGCAUGGAAACGCCGUUUACCUUCCUGCCAGAGCGGUACCUAUUUAUCUACUUGCACUUUGACAUGCUUUCGAAAUGCUGGUUGGCAGGAGCUGGGACUGAGCAAUGGGAGCUCACCCCGUCGCGGGGAUUUGAACCGCCGACCUUCUGAUCGGCAAGUGCUAGGCUCUGUGAUUUAACCCACAGCGUCACCCGCAUCCCUUUUCUGUGCAUAGGUUCAUUUAAAAGAGGGCAUUUCCUCCAUCCCUCCAUCCAACGGCCAAUCUUUUAGACUUCCAAGUACAUUAAACAAACAAUGAAUAUUUAGACCCUAAAUUCUGUUCAAUUAAUUUACAAAGCUCGAGCAAUUUCUCCAUUAGCUGUGCCAAAGUUAACUUUAAUUUCUGACUACGGGCGCUUUGCUGCUUUGAAGCUCAGCGGAAUAGUCACCCAAAUGGUAUCACAUCUGGCUUUUAUUUUAGCAUACAUGGAGAUGGCAAUUAUCUAAUCUAACCAUCAGUGUCCGUGGGGGGUGGGGUGGUGAUACCUUUAGCUGGAGAUGUUCCAGAAAUGCAAACACUCCUUAUUAGCAAUAGAGAAAGAUAGCCACUUCUUGUGUGUGUUUUUAAGGGAGGGGACAAUUUCCAUUUGGCCUGAAUACUGAAGACAGAGAAGAAUCAUUGUUCUGCCUCCAUUGACUCACAUUCUUUCCUCCAACUCUUUGUAAGAUUAGUGUGUGUAGAACUUAGAGCCCCCCAAUUAAUCAAUUUGCCCCUUUGUCUUGCAGAGUUUCACUCCUAUUCAGUUUCUGAACGGCACCCUGCUUAGCAGUCUUGUAAUUCCUUUUCUCUCAGGCUUGCGCCCUAAAAGGAGGGAGUGUAGGAUACAAGGAGAAGAAGCCAGCCAUCAACCUGUAGUAGCGACAGAUAGCUUAAGGUCCCCCUGCCCCCCACUUUCUUUUCAGCGAGGUGCUGAAUGGAGGAAGGUUAGCCGACAAAUAAAGGGAUGGGUUUUUCAGCUCCUGCCUGGGAUUUCAAGGGGACCCCAUGACAAUGACUCACAGAUUAGAGUUUAUUUUAGCCAUUAGUUGCCACUGGCAGCUUAGACAUAAUGACCCGGACAAAAGAAAGCCCUUCUGAGACCCACAGACUUAUUAUCUCCCCCUAAAUCUUCUCUCCUUGUCACAUGUUUACCAACACUCCACACUGCCAUUGUGGCUGCUGAAUUCAAAGCUUUCUCUUGGGUGCAAAAUGUUAAAUAGGGGAGAAAUUACCAUUUUAGUGCUGCCUCCUGUCACACAUCCUGUAUGAAGCAGGAACGGUUAGUUUAUAGCCCUUCUAUAACACCUUUGGAAGGAAGGAAGUUUAACCCUGUCAACAUUGCUAGUCCUGCCUUGCAAAAAGUACAAAGAAAUAGCAGUUCCCAGGCUGUUAGUCUGUUGCAGCAAAAUUGACAAGAUUCCCGUGGCACCUUAAAUGGAGACUGACAAGUUUUAUGGUGGCCUAUGGUUUUGUAGACUAAAGUCCACUUAAUCGGAUGCAACAAAUAAGUACGUAGUGUUCUCUUCUGUCAAACUAUUGCCUUGCUUUGCCUUCAGGGUUUAGUGAGAAAACUCUUCAGUUUUCUGUGAAAGACUAAAGAGGAAGCCUGAGAUUUGCCACUGAAAGACUUCUGGUAGAUUUCCCUGUGAGAAAUAGAAGACCGUUCAUUCUGAAGUGAUCAUAUGUGAACCUCCAUUCUGAGGCUCUGUUGCUCCUCUCAGCGACACCAUGGCACCGUUUUGUACUGAUGUUACAAUCUUCUAGGGUUUGCAAAAUUUUUGGGCCUAGUGGUCAUAUUUGGAAUGUUUAAAAAGUGCCAUGGAGGUGUGGCAUAACACUAAAUGGCAGAAAAAAUAAGACUACAAAAGGGCAUGGGCAUUCUCCCAUUUCAGUGGGUGGAAAGGUGCCUACAUGAGCCAUUGUCACACUCCUCAGACAGAUAAGCUUUUUCCACCACUCUUCUGUUCAAAACAAAAAGGAGGGAAGGUCUCAAGUCUUCGUAUCCAAGGAAAUGUGUGCAUAUUCAAAGGGGUGUGUUCAAUGUAGGAAAGGCCAAGCCAGUGCAUGCAUGAACUGAGAUCAGGAAGAGCAAAUAGUCUCUCAUGAACUGUGGAUUUUUUAGAGGAUAUUUACUGAGAAAUUUCAUGGGCACCAUUGGAAACACUGGCAGACACCUGGCCUCAUCAAACCAUGGAAUAUUUUAAAGAGCUGUUCCAGGGCUCACUGGGAGAUGAGGUUCUCAUGAUGUUCUCUGUGACAUAGUCAGGUGUAAACUUCGCUUCAUAAAUACAGCUUUACAUUUAAGUAGUUCAUGUCCUUUUAAAAUGACGCUCUUUAAAGUGCUUUUUGAAUGCUGUAUGAAUGUACCCAAAAUAUCUUUGAGGAGAGUCCUUCAGCUGUGGCAAGAGUAUAGGCCAUCUGUUGCAAGAUUAAACUAGUCAAUCUCCCACCAACAUUUCACAGACGGAUGGAUUUGCUUUCACUGGGUUUUACAGAAAGUCAUUAGCAGACUCAAGGACAGAAUUAGUAACUCUUCAGUUGCUCUGGUCCCUGAUGUAUUUCUUGGAAGCGGCUGUAUUUGCAGAUAACUUUUCAAAAAACAAACUCUAAAGCUAUUCUCACAGCGACAUUAACUUUUUUAAUGCAUUGCAUUUAUAACCGUUUUAAUUCUUGACAUUCCACUGAGGUUUGGCAACUGUUCCCACCAAUGUUUACCCCACAUGUACAUUUCAUGCUUGGAAUGAUUUUUUUAUAUAAAAAACCCUUUGGCUAUCCCAUACACUCUUGAAAGAUGUCUUGGAGGAAUCAGUUGAAAAUGAAUGUCUAUCCACUUAGUUGUGUUUGGGUUAAACUGUUCUUAAACCAAUAAUCCAUAGUUUCUCACUUUGUCCAACAUGGGAAACUAUGGUUAUUGGCUUUGGAACAAGCAAGGAUCUUGAAGUAGGCUAAAGAUCCUGGUUUGUUCCAAAGCUGGUAACCAUAGUUUUCUAGUCCAGAUGAAAUGGGGAACUGUGUGUAACUAAUAAGAAUUACAGGCUUAAUUGCAUGCAUGUUGGGAAAGAUUGAGGGCACAAGGAGAAGAGGAUGACAGAGGACGAGAUGGUUGGACAGUGUUUUCGAAGCUACUAACAUGAGUUUGACCAAACUGCGGGAGGCAGUGGAAGACAGGAGUGCCUGGCGUGCUCUGGUCCAUGGGGUCCAUGAGGUCAGACACGACUAAACGACUGAACAACAACAAGAGGUAGAGUAAAAGGGCAAAAGGCUUUCUCAUAUCUUGGCCUGUUAAGCCUGAAUCAGCUAACUGUCUCUGCUAAUUCUGUUUCCUGCUGGAAGAUGACACUUACAGUAGCUCUGCAUCUUCCAGAGAUAAACUAACCACACCUUACUCCACUUAAUCUAGAAUAAUUACUCUUUAGAAGAAGAAAAAAUGAAAAAUGUUGCAAACCUCAUUGAAAUUAUUUUUACUUCCCUUGAAAUUCCUGUGAAUGCUGUGCCAGAACUGAAACAUGCAAAUUCACUUCACUAAGCAGCAUCCUAUUUCAUUUGCCCAUGAAAAGUUUUGAUGUCCUGUGUUCCAAUAAGUCUUUUUAGAAUCCAUUUUCUUAGAGGACUGGACUAAUGACCCUUGAGGGGUCUACAAUUCUAUGUGUAAUAAUGGACUGGAAGAUUGAACGAAAGCCUGCAAUUUAACCAUUCGUAUCAUGAAUAUGAAAAGAUACUGAAAUAGUGUUAAGUGACAAACAAUUUAUAAUAAGUGGGGUUUUUAAAAAAAUAAUUACCCUAAAUCUGAUGUGCACAUCUGCUUAGAAGUCAGUCCCAGCUCUGUUGAGUGGUUUCUCCUUUAGCUUUUGUGUACAGGGCAACACCCAUACUCAGCUUACAAAUAUGAUACCUAUAAUACCUGGGCAACUGUAGUGCUAUUUUGGACAGUAAACUGAAUAUGCAAAGGGAGCCAAUGCUAGUGUUAGUGGACAGAGAAGUGGCACUACAAAAUAUUCCUUGUCUUAUUAUUUAUUGUAAUCUGUGUGGGGCUGUCCCAAGACUGACCUGUAACCUGCAGCUAAUGCAAAUAGAGCAGCUUGACUGUAAUAGGGCAGCCUUCCAUGUUCAUGCUACACCACUGCUGAAAUUAUUGCACUGGCUAGCAACUGGCCACCAGCCUAAGCCUUAGCUGCAAAGAAUAUUACAUGCUACAUGUUCAUAAAAUAAAGAAAGGUAAAGGACCCCUGACAGUUAAGUCCAGUCACGAAUGACUCUGGGAUUGAGGCGCUCAUUUUGCUUUACUGGCCAAAGAAGCCGACAUUUGCCCGCAGACAGUUUUUCUGGGUCAUGUGGCCAGCAUGACUAAGCUGCUUCUGGUGAAACCAGAGCAGCGCACGGAAAUGCCAUUUACCUUCCCGCCGGAGCGGUACCUAUUUCUCUACUUGCACUUUGACGUGCUUUCGAACUGCUAAGUUGACAGGAGUUGGGACUGAGCAACGGGAGCUCACCCUGUCACGGGGAUUUGAAACGCCAACCUUCCGAUAGGCAAGCCCUAAGCUCAGUGGUUUAGACCACAGCACCGCCUGUGUCCCAUAAAAUAGCUGCAUUUUAAAUCUGAUGCUUUUUUAAAAAUAGAAGCUGUGCCACCCUUGCUAUGAAAAUAGAAUGAAAUCAUUUUUUGUACAGUAUUAUUCUAUUCAGACCUUCCUAAUGAUCUUUAACUGCAACAUCAUCACCAGACACCAUUUUAGAACCCAAAGUAAUUAUUGAAGCUACAAUCAAAUGUAGUCUGUGUUAUUUCAAAUGACAGAACAUAGAAUAGCUUCAGGUAAAAUCAUUAAGGGGAAAAUGUAAGGUAAAAAGGACACUGGCAGGUUAACGUAAAACAGCAUUGACAGGGCAACCUAAAUAAAAAUAUGAAACAGAAAAUUUAUCCAAAAUUAGGAGGGUUUUCUACAGCCGUUCUUUUGCAGAAUCCCCAUUAAAACAGUUCCAGACAGCCCAUCUAAAGCUGCAUUUUUGAGUGAGGCCUCUGCAGUUCUUAGCAUCCAUCAUACAAAGCCAUGUCUGAAAUCUAUGCACGGGAUAUUUCUGAUAACACACCCAAAGUUUCCAAAUGUAUGCAUUCCUGAAAGAGGAACCAUGGAAGUGACCCAAAAGGAGAUGUCAGUCAUGGUAUAAAGCCACAUCUAACUUUAGCCCAGGUCCAGAUAACAUGAUGCUGUUACAUGCUAUAGAAAUGAGUGGAAAGGAGCCAAUCAAAAAUCACUUGGGAGACAGUUUCACAUGCUCCUUAAAGAUGACUACACCCCUCUGUUGUGCCACCAUCUUCUGAUGUUAGCAACAAAGCAACGGCAGAACCUGCUGUUUUAGCUGCCCCUAAGGCAACAUUCAAUCCAACUGAAUCAAAUGGUUAUGGUGCUUCACUAAUGUGCUUUUGCCAUUUAAUGAUCUUGAGUCAUCUUCCUAUCAAGUUAAGGUGGAUUAAAUAGAAUCCAAAAGACUUAUCACUUCUUCCACUAAUUAGUUGCUCAAAGAUGAAAUGAUGAAAGGCAUCCUGCUGUGUUGGUUCUGGGCAUUUCACACUUGAAACAUAAAUUGGACUGAUUAUCCUUAAAGACACUGAUUACUAUUGCCGCAUGUCUUUCCUUUCCUUUUUUUUUUUUUUUUAAGUGCCCGGAUAUGCUAAGGGUGUUUGAAGCUGUGUUUGGCUUUUGGCAGUCACAAAGGAAGGGGCAGAUAAAUCUGCCUUUGCAUUUCAACACCUUUUUUUCUGCCACUGCAAAAUUGCAAUUCAGAUUUUUCAAAUGUACCUUGGAUUUAUUUAUUUUUUUAAAAGAUGCUAUGAGAAAAAGCCUGCAAAGAGCAUGCUUAAGCUUUCUUUUUGUUUUUAAGGUGGAUGAGGCAAUCAGUCUCCAUUAAAAACAUUGAGGAAAACAUGAAAUGUAAGUACAAACAAUGUCAGGAAUACAUUUGCUUGUAAGCUUGAGGAUGUUAGAAACUGCCUAGGAUAUUGUUUUUAUCAAAAAUAGAAUGAAUCCCUACAAAAAUGAGAGGCUGGUACAUUGUAGCCUUAAUAACUUCGGGCAACCGACAGCUGCUUCAAGCUCCAUUCGGUGCAAUCAGAUUCCAAGAAAAGUGGAAUCCAGGAGCCAUUAUAUUUAUAUCACGAUUGUUGCUUUCAAAACAAAAUAUGGAAAUUUGGUCAGCUGAAGGAGAACAGGCAAAAAAUUAAAGCCAAAACUUGGCAUGUGGGGAGGCUCAUGAUAAAUUAGGGAAAAAAUGAGAAACUACCAUGGAUGUAGCAUUAAUUGUGUAAAUGAAAUUAGCAUGCUUAUUUUUGCUAUGUAAAUAACAGUUGUGGGAAACCUGAGCUGCCAUGGGGUCUGGGAGAGGAAGUUCAACUCUUUCCCACCCUGCCCCUCUUCCCACAUAAAUCUGAGGUGUUGUUUGCAUUUCAAGAGACAUUCCUGUUGGUUUUAAUUACUUAUCUCCUCUGAGUUUCAUUUUCUUUAUGAAUAGCCCUGCAGGGCUUUCACCACCACAUGCUCUCCUCUCCUCUUUUAGUACCUCUCCAUGCUCCAUAGUACAAAGCAGGCAUUUUUACUAGUGUCCAGUCUUCACACAACCAAAACCGAGGGAUACUGAACUCUGGGGGAUGACCCUGGUGGUAGGCCCCAUUCCCAAUGUCCAUGAGUCCAUCACCUCUAAUGCACAGAGCCAUAAUUCAUACAUGCAGGACAGGGAUGGUGAACCUGUGUGGCUUUCCAGAUCUGUGGAAUUACAGCUCCAAGAAGUUCAGCAUAUUUGACACCAAUUGGUAGCAGCUUUCCAUGAAUUUCAGGCAGGAGUCCUUCCUACUUGUUGCUGAAGAUGUGAGGUAUUGAAAGGCAUGUGCUCUACCACCAAUCUUUUGAAUAAAAUAACUUUAUAGCAUGAUAGGGUUGAAAGACUAAGCUCAGUUGGGAUGACAAGGGGACAUGGGACUCUUAAUCUCAGGGUUGUGCGUUCGAGCCCCACGUUGGGCAAAAAAAUUCAUUUAUAGCGGGGAGUGCCAAGAGAGUGAGAAAUCUCUUGCUUUGCACAAUCCUCUUUAUGGAAGAUAAUGCAUAUCAAUGUUAUCUACCAAUCUGUUUGCCAGCUUGUACUUGGACCUCUAGAGAGCAAGAUACCCAGUCGCACACACUUCCCCUUCACAAUUUUCAUAUGUCCCACAGUUAGUAGAAAAUAAAAUAUAGUAGGAGCCAGCUUAAUGUUUGUGGACCCUGUUUCGACUUUAAAAGGUCAAAUUAGAAGAGACUAUGCAAAGGGAUGCAGGUGGCGCUGUGGUCUAAACCACUGAGCCUUGGACUUGCCGAUCGGAAGGUUGGCAGUUCAAAUCCCCGCGAUGGGGUGAGCUCCCAUUGCUCGGUCCCUGCUCCUGCCCACCCAGCAGUUCGAAAGCAUGUCAAGUGCAAGUAAAUAAAUAGGUACCGCUCCGGCAGGAAGGUAAACGGCGUUUCCGUGCACUGCUCUGGUUCGCCAGAAGCGGCUUAGUCAUGCUGGCCACAUGACCCGGAAGCUGUCUGUGGACAAAUGCUGGCUCCCUUGGCCUAUAGAGUGAGAUGAGCACACAACCCCAGAGUCGUACGCAACUGGAUCUAACAGUCAGGGGUACCUUUACCUUUCUGCAAAGGAAGCCUGUACCUGUAUUUAUGGGUCACAUGAUCACUUCCCACUGCUGUAGCUUUCCCCUCUGUUGUGAGACCAGCAGCAACACCCCAAAUCCCCUUUUCUUUCCUCCUUUGCAUCUAGUCACCAUUAGAACGGAAAACUCCCCUAUGUGCCCUAUGAUACAGCCAUUUCUGCAGCAUAAUCUAACAGAAAGAAAGGAUUACACGUAAGAGAUUAGAUAUGAGGGCACAUCAGGGAACACACAAUUCAAAGCAACCCCCAAGUGUAACUCGUAUCUAUUUGGAGGGUGGAGAAACACAAUCUAAGAGGUACGCAAUUCUGCUUCUCACAAAGGAAGCAAAGCCACAGCGUUCCACAUUGAUGAUCAAGUGUUGUAAAUGAAGACAGCCUAAAGAAGUGUUGAACUCGCUCAUCCUUUAUUAGUUUCUGUCCUAUAAAACCACAAAAUCCAGCCACUCGUUGGCAGAAUGCGAAGUAAACUGGUUAACUGAGGAUGUGUGUAUGUGUGUGAUAAUAGUAUAUAUUCUGUUUGCGGUGUCUGCCUCAAGCCUUUUGAAAUGCCAUACAGGAGUGUUGGUUUAGUUAAUUUCAUUUACUGUCCAAGACAGCUUCUGCAAACAGCCAUUGUUCAGAGAAACAAUUCACUUGGUGCCGCCUUUGCUGUCAUCCUUUACCACCCUCAGCGCACAUCUAUAUCACCCACAGCUGGAUUUUCAUGGCAGAUGUUUCUGUUCCCUCUGGUAUUUCCUCGCACACCCUCUUUCAAAUCCCCCAUUAGCCUCUAAUUCUCCAUUCUCUCUGGCAUUCCCAGGAUUUCAGAAGUGAGAAUAUGUGAAAGAAUUACUACACAGAUUUCCCCAGGGUCAGAGCAGCUGCCCUUUAUCCCAAAACUUUGGAGGAUCUGGCCAGAUUCUAUGAUUCCAGCUGCUUUGAUUUUGUGUUGCUCCACUAAGUUCCCAGUGCUCUUUACAUAGAGUUUCCAGGGGAUUUUUUUACUAGCUCUUCAUAAUUUACAUAUCUUGGCAAGCACUACCAGUGGUUUGUGAAAUCCCUUAUAUGUCAAACAUUCACGUAAACACAAAAGUAUAUUUUAUGUAUAGAAACUAGCAUUCUUCAAUGGAGUGUACAGGCAAGAAAAUCAGAGUUGGAUUAACAUAACUUCUUAUGUAUGCCAAAAAUUAGGAAAAUUGCAUCCACACACUACAGGUACUCCUGUAGAGGUUAUUCGAGACCAUCUUUUUACAAAAAGUGCACAAGGUAGCAUGCCUUGUGAGUUCAGUGUGUGCCACAGGAUGUGCUAAGAGUUAGAUCAUUGGUACCCCUCCUGCGAUUUCUGUUCAUUCUGUGUGUUUUUUAGGGCUGAUGGUGAGUUGAAGUAUCACACUGUUAUUGCUCUACUCGGAGGUGGGGGUAGGGGGGUGUUAAAUUUGAAAUAAAAAUGUGUCUUCACAUUUUCUGCCCCACCAUCAUUUUAAUCUUUGGCUAGUAUGAGUAGUUAUCUGGAUAGGAAAUUCCUAUUCACAAUUCUCAUUCCUGACUGCUCCAUUUUCACAGCCACUGAUACCUAGUGGGAAAAGCAAAAGGUUCUUUUUUUUUAAGCAGUCAACUUGAGUUCUCUUUUUAAUCUAACUUGUCCCAAAUAAAGGUAUUGUUUCACUUCACCUGAGUUUCUGGGCUUGUUGGAGGAUUUUUAAGGAAUUGCAAAACAAAAAUGAGAUGUGUAAGAUGCAUACACACAGUUCUAGUUAGAGGUAGGUAGCCGUGUUGGUCUGCCGUAGUAGAAACAAAAUAAAAAAAUUCCUUCCAGUAGCACCUUAGGGACCAACUAAGUUUGUUAUUGGUAUGAGCUUUCAUAUGCAUGCACACUGAAAGAAUCUGAAGAAGUGUGCAUGCACACGAAAGCUCAUACCAAUAACAAACUUAGUUGGUCACUAAGGUGCUACUGGAAGGAUUUUUUUUUUAAUUUUGUUUUGCAUACACACACAGUAAGCAAUAUGUUCAAAACAAUGUAGAAUAAUUUGUUCAAAACAGGAAUAAGAUGGAUUUCUUUCUCUGCACUUGUCUGCAGAACACAGACAAACCCUGUAAAGCUGCCUAAGGGAAAGGAGAGCCCCAAACAAUAUAAGCACAGCCAAUCUGCCCCCCUCCAGAUACUGUGGGACUUCAACUUCCAUCAGCACCAGUCAGCAUCACCAGUGGUUAGAGCUGAUGGGAGUUGGAGACCCAAACAUCUGGAGGGCACCAUGUUGGCUGUCCUACAGCUUGGACACAUCUUUGUUUUCAAAGCAUGACAAGUUGUUUGAGAAGAGGGAGGGAGGCGGGUAUCAUUUUAGGUUUCCUGAGAGCAGUAGCCCACAAUAUUGUAGCAGAGUGAGAAUAUCCCUGCAAGGAAGGCAUGGCAUGUUAUGGAAAACAUAAACAUUCCUUAUCUUUCUUUCUCCAGUUGCUAAGAUUUCCUGGAAGCUGCCAUUUCCUCUCUUUGACUGAGGAAACAAUGCAAAGCAUGUGCCUGACUCUGUUUGAAUGGGUUGCUGCUGGAUGUGAAAUUGUUCCGUGAUCAAUUAGAGCUAUAUACUAUCUCUGGGAGACAAAGACCUUGACUGCUACUGUGGCGAUGAAGGAGAAAGACUUUGCCGUCCAUGCAAGACUGCAAGCAUAUAGAUAAGCAGCUAGAAGGGGGGAGGGUGAUGUUGUCUUUUCAAUUAUUGACCAUUUGAUGUGUUCUGAGGGCACCCAGCAAUUGUAGGCCAUUUAAGAUGCUCUUGAUGCUCUCACACUCAGCAGGCAGCACAUCCGCACUUCCGAGACGCAAAUACCCUUUAUCCCUCUUUGACUGGUUCCUUCCUACAGGGCAAAAGGAAUAUAAAGUCUCACGCUAUUAACCCGCCCGAGGAAAUAUGACUGAAUGCAUCCCUAUCGUUAUUAAGGCCACUCAGCAGCUGCUUCUGUAAAUCACUUUUAUAUUUGUGCUCUCGGGGAACUGGAGGACAACCUUGUGAAUAGGGUCCCCGGGUUAUUCUACAAGCUCAGGCAAAUGCAUCUCAUAAAACUCUGGCUUUCAAGGUUCUGACCUUGGGUUUCAAAGCACUGUAGAUCUGGAGUGUCAGGGAGCACAUCUUCUGCUCCCCAGUGUGGGGGCAAAGAAAGGCCAAUGUGUAUAUUGUUAAGCUUUUGUAACAACCAAAACCCUGCAUGACAUAAUUUGCAUGUGUGUAUUUGUAUUUGACAGACAACUUGAAGCUCCACAAACUGAUGGCAUAGUGGUAUUUGAAAGAAAGUCAGGAGACCUGAAAAUUAUCUAGCAAUAAGGUUUUCAGGCCUCAGCCAAGCUCUAAAACAGAGGGGUCCAAGAGUGUGGUGUGGGUGGAAGAUGGAGGGGGUGGUCUGUUGCAAGCAAGCAAAGAACCUUAAGACCUGAAGCAGUUAAUAAGAAGAAGAAGAAGAAGAAGAAGAAGAAGAAGAAGAAGAAGAAGAAGAAGUUUUGUUUAUAUCCCACCCUCCCCAGCCAAAGCCAGGCUCAGAGCAGCAGGUCCUUAUAAAGGCUUCCCAUCCCAGUCAGAUUUUCCACCCUGCUUCAUUGAGUAGCCACACCAACUCCUGUGUGUUAGAGUUGUUCACAUUUUGUCAUGCCAGUUGUCCUUUCUGGAUUCUUACCACAAGCCUGCCUUUGAUCAUGACCCCAUCCACACCUUACAUACCAGUCACGGCUUCCCCCAAAGAAUCGUGGGAACUGUCAUUUGUUAAAGUGCCAAGAGUUCUUAGGAAGCUCCUAAUGGAGCUACAAUCCCCAGCAUCCUUAACAAAAAGUACUUCUUCAGUGCAUAGUUAAACCAGGGAACACACUCCCACAGGAGGCAGUGAGGACCACUAGCCUUUUGUUGUUGUUUAGUCGUUUAGUCGUGUCCGACUCUUCGUGACCCCAUGGACCAGAGCACGCCAGGCACUUCUGUCUUCCACUGCCUCCCGCAGUUUGGUCAGACUCAUGUUUGUAGCUUCGAGAACACUGUCUAACCAUCUCAUCCUCUGUCGUCCCCUUCUUCUUGUGCCCUCAAUCUUUCCCAACAUCAGGGUCUUUUCCAGGGAGUCUUCUCUUCUUAUGAGGUGGCCAAAGUAUUGGAGCCUCAGCUUCACGAUCUGUCCUUCCAGUGAGCACUCAGGACUGAUUUCCUUCAGAAUGGAUAGGUUUGAUCUUCUUGCAGUCCAUGGGACUCUCAAGAGUCUCCUCCAGCACCAUAAUUCAAAAGCAUCAAUUCUUCGGCGAUCAGCCUUCUUUAUGGUCCAGCUCUCACUUCCAUACAUCACUACUGGGAAAACCAUGGCUUUAACUAUAUGGACCUUUGUUGGCAAGGUGAUGUCUCUGCUUUUUAAGAUGCUGUCUAGGUUUGCCAUCGCUUUUCUCCCAAGGAGCAGGCGUCUUUUAAUUUCAUGACUGCUGUCACCAUCUGCAAUGAUCAUGGAGCCCAAGAAAGUAAAAUCUCUCACUGCC